AAAUUGAAGAGUUUGAUCAUGGCUCAGAUUGAACGCUGGCGGCAGGCCUAACACAUGCAAGUCGAACGGUAACAGGAAACAGCUUGCUGUUUCGCUGACGAGUGGCGGACGGGUGAGUAAUGUCUGGGAAACUGCCUGAUGGAGGGGGAUAACUACUGGAAACGGUAGCUAAUACCGCAUAACGUCGCAAGACCAAAGAGGGGGACCUUCGGGCCUCUUGCCAUCGGAUGUGCCCAGAUGGGAUUAGCUUGUUGGUGGGGUAACGGCUCACCAAGGCGACGAUCCCUAGCUGGUCUGAGAGGAUGACCAGCCACACUGGAACUGAGACACGGUCCAGACUCCUACGGGAGGCAGCAGUGGGGAAUAUUGCACAAUGGGCGCAAGCCUGAUGCAGCCAUGCCGCGUGUAUGAAGAAGGCCUUCGGGUUGUAAAGUACUUUCAGCGGGAAGGAAGGGAGUAAAGUUAAUACCUUUGCUCAUUGACGUUACCCGCAGAAGAAGCACCGGCUAACUCCGUGCCAGCAGCCGCGGUAAUACGGAGGGUGCAAGCGUUAAUCGGAAUUACUGGGCGUAAAGCGCACGCAGGCGGUUUGUUAAGUCAGAUGUGAAAUCCCCGGGCUCAACCUGGGAACUGCAUCUGAUACUGGCAAGCUUGAGUCUCGUAGAGGGGGGUAGAAUUC
rnacentral:rRNA from 1 species